GCUGUUAUUCUAAAGGCUCCCUGACAAGCCCUCCUUUCUUGUUCCUAGGUGUGUGAAUGUGGAUAAUGUCAGCUCUACCUCCUCUGUGAAGGGAGAAUCGGGAAGAAAAUUCCAUAUAAUACCUAAGAAGAUCCAAAACAUUUUUAGAAAAUCUGGAGUUUAUGUGUCUUCUCGGGUAGACCCAAUUCUUGAAGUAUGGGAAGAAAAUACAUCUGCAACGGAUGAAAAAUAUAAAACAGAUAAUUUCUAUGCUGUGUCUUCUGAGCAUAGAAAUUCUAUUCCUAAGGCUACUGCUGAUCGUGAAGCUUCCACCUCUACUGCUGACAGCCUGGAUGCUGCCGAGCCUGACCCGACAAAUUCUACAAAUGCUACUGACUGUCUGGCUGCUCUUGAGCAUGAGCUGACUAAUUCCAACAACACUGCUGACUGUCUGGCUGACCUUGAGCCUGAUCCGACUAUUUCUACCAAUGCCGCUGACUUUCAGGCUGCUGUUGCACCAGAGCCAACUAUGUCCACCCACCCUGCUGACUGUCUGCCUGAUGUGGAACCAGAGCCAACUAUGUCCACCCACCCUGCUGACACUCUGGCUGCUCUUGAUCCUGAGCUGACUAAUUUCAACAUCACUGCUGACUGUCUGGCUGACCAUGAGCCUGAGCCAAACAUGUCCACCCACCCUGCUGACAGUCUGCCUGAUGUGGCACCAGAGCCAACUAUGUCCAAUCACCCUGCUGACACUCUGGCUGCUCUUGAGCCUGAACUGACUAAUUCCAACAACACUGCUGACUGUCUGGCUGACCUUGAGCCUGAUACGACGAUUUCUACCAAUGCCGCUGACUUUCAGGCUGCUGUUGCACCAGAGCCUGCUAUGUCCACCAACCCUGCUGACAGUAUGGCAGCUGUUGAGCCUGAGCCGACUAUGUCCACCCACCCUGCUGACAUUCUGACUGCUGAUGAGCCUGAACAUAAUAAUUCUACCAAAGCUGCUGACUGUCUGGCUGACCUUGAGCCUGAGCCAAAAAUGUCCACCCACCCUGCUGACAGUCUGCCUGAUGUGGAACCAGAGCCAACUAUGUCCACCCACCCUGCUGACACUUUGGCUGCUCUAGAGCCUGAGCUGACCAAUUUCAACAACACUGCUGACUGUCUGGCUGACCUUGAGCCUGAUCCGACUAUUUCUACCAAUGCCACUGACUUUCAGGCUGCUGUUGCACCAGAGCCAACUAUGUCCACCCACCCUGCUGACUGUCUGCCUGAUGUGGAACCAGAGCCAACUAUGUCCACCCACCCUGCUGACACUCUGGCUGCUCUUGAGCCUGAGCUGACUAAUUUCAACAACACUGCUGACUGUCUGGCUGACCCUGAGCCUGAUCCAACAAUUUCUACCAAUGCCGCAGACUGUCGGGCUGCUGUUGCACCAGAGCCCGCUAUGUCCACCAACCCUGCUGACAGUAUGGCAGCUGUUGAGCCUGAGCCGACUAUGUCCACCCACCCUGCUGACAUUAUGACUGCUGACGAUCCUGCACAUAAUACUUCUACCAAAGCUGCUGACUGUCUGGCUGACCUUGAGCCUGAGCCAAACAUGUCCACCCACCCUGCUGACAGUCUGCCUGAUGUGGAACCAGAGCCAACUAUGUCCAAUCACCCUGCUGACACACUGGCUGCUCUUGAGCCUGAGUCGACUAAAUCCUCCAAUGCUGCUGACUGUCUGGCCUAUGUUGAGCCAGAGCCAGCUAUGUCCACC
ensembl:lncRNA